UGGGGAAUAUUGCUCAAUGGGCGCAAGCCUGAAGCAGCGACGCCGCGUGAGGGAUGAAGGCCUUCGGGUUGUAAACCUCUUUCAGCGCCGAAGAAGCGAAAGUGACGGUAGGCGCAGAAGAAGCACCGGCUAACUACGUGCCAGCAGCCGCGGUAAUACGUAGGGUGCAAGCGUUGUCCGGAAUCAUUGGGCGUAAAGAGCUCGUAGGCGGUCUGUCGCGUCUGCUGUGAAAACCUGGGGCUUAACCCUGGGCUUGCAGUGGGUACGGGCAGACUAGAGUGCGGUAGGAGAGACUGGAAUUCCUGGUGUAGCGGUGAAAUGCGCAGAUAUCAGGAGGAACACCGGUGGCGAAGGCGGGUCUCUGGGCCGUAACUGACGCUGAGGAGCGAAAGCAUGGGUAGCGAACAGG
rnacentral:rRNA from 1 species